rnacentral:rRNA from 1 species
GACGAACGCUGGCGGCGUGCUUAACACAUGCAAGUCGAACGGAAAGGCCUCUUUCGGGGGGUACUCGAGUGGCGAACGGGUGAGUAACACGUGAGUAACCUGCCCUUGACUUUGGGAUAACUUCAGGAAACUGGGGCUAAUACCGGAUAGGAGCUCCUGCUGCAUGGUGGGGGUUGGAAAGUUUCGGCGGUUGGGGAUGGACUCGCGGCUUAUCAGCUUGUUGGUGGGGUAGUGGCUUACCAAGGCUUUGACGGGUAGCCGGCCUGAGAGGGUGACCGGCCACAUUGGGACUGAGAGACGGCCCAGACUCCUACGGGAGGCAGCAGUGGGGAAUAUUGCACAAUGGGUGGAAGCCUGAUGCAGCAACGCCGUGUGCGGGAUGACGGCCUUCGGGUUGUAAAACGCUUUCGCUCAUGACGAAGCUUUGUGUGACGGUAGUGGGUAAAGAAGCACCGGCUAACUACGUG